rnacentral:rRNA from 1 species
CGGACGGGUGAGUAACGCGUGGGUAACCUGCCUCACACUGGGGGACAACAGUUAGAAAUGACUGCUAAUAUCGCAUAAGCGCACAGGACCGCAUGGUCUAGUGUGAAAAACUCCGGUGGUGUGAGAUGGACCCGCGUUUGAUUAGCUAGUUGGUGGGGUAACGGCCUACCAAGGCGACGAUCAAUAGCCGACCUGAGAGGGUGACCGGCCACAUUGGGACUGAGACACGGCCCAA